UCAUUUUCUUUCUGUUCGAGCAGCUACAAAAUUGACCAGUUCCAAGAAGAUUGGUGUGAUUGUGAGCAUUACCGUACAAAUAUACGGUUGGAAGGAUAUGGGAACAUUAUCUGCUUUACUUUUGCAUCUCAAGGCAACUACUGUCGCCUAGCAAUGUGUCCUGAUCAAAAUCUUAAUUUAUGAAGUACUACUAUGCCUACUGAGGGGGUGAGAUUGAGGCUUAUGAGCUUUGACACAUACAUCGGUUAUCAGGAUUAGUGCUUUUGGUGGUCCAAUUUGGCAAGAACACGAAGAAGGCCGAGUUGGUGAUGGCCCCUUAUGAGAGUGGCACUGGUAACGGGAAGCUUCUAUGACGUCGAAGAGGCUGCUGAGCAACCCACAGUUCCCCUAGGAUGAUUUAUCUUGCAGAUGGACUUCCGUUAUUAAGUGAGGAGCUUCAACCCGAUCUGAUCAUCUGACCAUUUUAUGGAGUGGUGUUGGCUGCAGGAUGGUGUCGCUGCAGGAUGACACAUGAUUAGCAAAUUUCUAUGAAUAUUACCACAGAUGACGACGAGCCCGUCAAUCAAUGGAGGAGGAGGCCAUGGAAGAGAGAAAGGAUGUGUGAAGAUGUUGUGGUUACCGACGGAGCGCUAGCUGUGGGCGACGACCGGGCCAGG